rnacentral:tRNA from 1 species
UAGUUCAGUGGUAGAAUUCUUGCCUUCCAUGUGGGAGACCCAGGUUCAAUUCCUGG